rnacentral:misc_RNA from 1 species
GAGACUUCAUUUUGUUGCAUGUAUAAUAAUAUAUGGGCAAAUGGCUGGGCUACAUAUGGGAUAUCUCCCCCUUGACUCUGGGAGCUGGUUCUUUUCUGGUGAACUACUGUCCUUUAAUUUUUUAGAAGGAAGUGUAUACCAACAAACCAACUUUGUUUUGUGGUAAGACCUACUGAUAAUAUUCUACUCACUGUUGGAAACAGAAGUCAUUUACUGUCCAUCAAUCAAAUUUUAGUUGUUUUUAGGGAUAAUUUUAUGACUGAAGUACUGAAACCAUGUCGCAAUAUUAUUUUGAUAUAAAGGUAACCUGAUAAUUAUAUUCUUUUGCAUGGAAGAUAGC